GACGAACGCUGGCGGCGUGCUUAACACAUGCAAGUCGAGCGGUAAGGCCCUUUCGGGGGUACACGAGCGGCGAACGGGUGAGUAACACGUGGGUGACCUGCCCUCAGCUCUGGGAUAAGCCUGGGAAACCGGGUCUAAUACUGGAUAUGACUCCAUGACGCAUGUUGUGGGGUGGAAAGCCUUGUGCGGCUGAGGAUGGGCCCGCGGCCUAUCAGCUUGUUGGUGGGGUGANGGCCUACCAAGGCGACGACGGGUAGCCGGCCUGAGAGGGCGACCGGCCACACUGGGACUGAGACACGGCCCAGACUCCUACGGGAGGCAGCAGUGGGGAAUCUUGCGCAAUGGGCGAAAGCCUGAUCCAGCCAUGCCGCGUGAGUGAUGAAGGCCCUCGGGUCGUAAAGCUCUGUGGAGAGGGAAGAAUCCCUGCAGCAUCAGAUCCUGCAGGUUGACGGUACCUCUUUAGCAAGCACCGGCUAACUCCGUGUCA
rnacentral:rRNA from 1 species